GGUUCUGUGGUGUGAUGGUGAGCACUCUGGACUCUGAAUCCAGCAAUCCAAGUUCCAGUCUUGGUGGAACCU
rnacentral:tRNA from 1 species